CGCGUAGGCGGGCCAUCAAGUCAGGGGUGAAAUCCUCCAGCUCAACUGGAGAACAGCUUUUGAUACUGGUGGUCUGGAGGGGGGUAGGGGCAUGUGGAACUUCCGGUGGAGCGGUGAAAUGCGUAGAUAUCGGAAGGAACGCCGGUGGCGAAAGCGACGUGCUGGACCCUUUCUGACGCUGAGGCGCGAAAGCCAGGGAGCAAACG
rnacentral:rRNA from 1 species